UAAAACCUGCGGCGCAAAGCGUUUCUUUCCCGAGCCGUCCGUCUCGCGACUGCCUGAAUGGUCGUGCUUUAAACCCGAACUCCCGCUGAUCAAAGACAAUCCAGAACAGCAGGUCUACUGUCCAAACUCCCAAGGUCCUUCCCAUUUUCCUCUCCAGUGCUGCCUCUGAAAUGAGUCUCUUUGUUAAGCUUCAGGAUGGGGGGACUUCCUUUGGAGAAGGAAAAAUUUAUGGAACCACAAGCCCUGAGAGCAUGAGACUUAAUCUCCUGCUUAGUCCUGUAGAAAGUUGGCGGUACCCACGGGACAGAAGGAGGUUCGCACCACUGUCCAAAAAUGGGGAGGUGGUCCACCCUUAUAGAGAGGUAAGAGAUAAG